AUUGAACGCUGGCGGCGUGCCUAACACAUGCAAGUCGAGCGGUAACAGGUGUAGCAAUACAUGCUGACGAGCGGCGGACGGGUGAGUAACGCUUGGGAAUCUGCCUAUUAGUGGGGGACAACCCGGGGAAACUCGGGCUAAUACCGCAUACGCUCUACGGAGGAAAGCCGGGGACCGCAAGGCCUGGCGCUAAUAGAUGAGCCCAAGUCGGAUUAGCUAGUUGGUAGGGUAAUGGCCUACCAAGGCUACGAUCCGUAACUGGUCUGAGAGGACGACCAGUCACACCGGAACUGAGACACGGUCCGGACUCCUACGGGAGGCAGCAGUGGGGAAUAUUGGACAAUGGGGGGAACCCUGAUCCAGCGAUGCCGCGUGUGUGAAGAAGGCCUGCGGGCUGUAAAGCACUUUC
rnacentral:rRNA from 1 species